rnacentral:lncRNA from 1 species
UACGUCUUUUUUUACAUGAAUUAUCAUGUUGCAAAUUUUAUAGAUUAACUUAUACAAAACAUUGAAUUUUUCGAAAUAGAUAGGCUUCAUUGGAUUUUUUGGUCCUAAAUGCUCUUUAAAAAUAGUAAUUUGUAACGUUUGACCUUUUUAAGAAUAUUUUGUUUCGAGCCUCACUGGUGAGUUGGUUGUUUUUAACGAAAAUGUCGUCUGGCGUACAAAAUUUCAAUCUUGGUAUCUACGAUGAGUUUAUAUUUUGAUAUUCGAAGAUUAAACUCCUUGUCCUUUUUUCACACACAAAAAAACAUAACAUUAACUUAAAAUGAUUUUUACGGCAAAAUUUUACUGCACUAGAUAAGCAUUUCGACUGUCAAUGACUUUUCAUCGAAGCUCGCGGCCAAAAUAUUUUAAAUUCCAAAACGUAUUCCAAUAUUAAAAAACAGAUAAAACUAAAAAAAUACUCUAAAGUACAGCCAACACAAGUCGAGCACUAUAAAGCAUUAUAGGAACUCAAUUUUGUAUUGUUUAGAUAUAAAAAGUUGACAUUUUAAGCCAU